GGUUAUUGAUGGUGCUAUUGAGGGGUUUAAUAAACAGAUCGUUGUCGUGCAGAUGCACGUCGCCUUCAGCGGUGGUCAUUUCACCGUCGAGCGGAAUAUCCAGAUGUAAGCGAGCAUUCACAUCACCAUCAAGCUGGAGCUCAUCCAGGGUCGUAGCCAGGGAAUCCUUCAACGGAGUCUCUGCAAAAUAGGGCCCAACGGCCUUACCCGGCCCGUUGAUAUCGGCAUCAAUCAGCAAUUUUUCUUUUGAGUAAUCGGGGAUAACCGCCUUCAGGUUGCUGGCAGUCACGCCGCCCAGCGCCACGCUGUCGCUCUUCAUCCACAGGCCGUCGUUGAUGAAGUUGAGUUCGAUAUCGAGAUUCUUUAGCGCCGGCCAGUCCGGCUGGAAGGCAAAGGUCGCAUUAUGCAGCGGGA
rnacentral:ncRNA from 1 species